GAUCCAGUGCGGCGUAGUGGUUUGAGUGCUUGUCUACAAUUCUGGAGACCAGGGUUCAAUUCCCAGCUUGGCUG